rnacentral:rRNA from 1 species
GGUGAUUCAUAAUAACUUUACGGAUCGCAUCUCUGAUGCGACAUAUCAUUCAAGUUUCUUUCUGACCUAUCAGCUUUAGACGGUAGAGGUAUUGGCCUACCGUGGCUAUGACGGGUAACGGGGAAUUAGGGUUCGAUUCCGGAGAGGGAGCCUGAGAAACGGCUACCACAUCUAAGGAAGGCAGCAGGCGCGCAAAUUACCCAAUCGCUGACACAGGGAGGUAGUGACAAGAAAUAACAAUACAGGGCCUAACGGUCUUGUAAUUGGAAUGAGUGAAGUAUAAACCCCUUUACGAGUAUCAAUUGGAGGGCAAGUCUGGUGCCAGCAGCCGCGGUAAUUCCAGCUCCAAUAGCGUAUAUUAAAGUUGUUGCAGUUAAAAAGCUCGUAGUUGGAUUUCUGUUGUAUAAUUUU